rnacentral:rRNA from 1 species
CCCUUAGAUGUUCUGGGCCGCACGCGCGCUACACUGACGAAUGCAACGAGCUUAUAACCUUGGCCGAAAGGUCUGGGUAAUCUCCAAAUUUCGUCGUGAUGGCGAUAGAUUAUUGCAAUUAUUAAUCUUCAACGAGGAAUGCCUAGUAAGCGCAAGUCAUCAGCUUGCGUUGAUUACGUCCCUGCCCUUUGUACACACCGCCCGUCGCUCCUACCGAUUGAAUGGUCCGGUGAAGCGUUCGGACCGUGGCCUUUGGACGGUUCGCCGUCUGUUGGCUGCGGGAAGUUCGUUAAACCUUAUCAUUUAGAGGAAGGAGAAGUCGUAACA